GACGAACGCUGGCGGCGUGCUUAACACAUGCAAGUCGAACGGUGAAGGGAGCGGUUUUUGCUGGUUCUGGAUGCGUCGCGCACGUGAGAGUCACACGUGAGUAACCUUCCCCCUUCUUCUGUAUCUCCGCGAAAACGGGUCUAUUAUACGGUAUAUUCUGCAACUGUUGCGUUGUGGAUUUAAGGACGGUUUUGUUUCCGCUUAUAGAUGGCUCCGCGCCUCAUUAGCUAGUUGGUAAGGUAACGGCUUACCAAGGCAACGAUGCGUAGCCGACCUGAGAGGAUGAUCGGCCACACUGGAACUGAGACACGGUCCAGACUCCUACGGGAGGCAGCAGUAGGGAAUCUUCCGCAAUGGGCGAAAGCUUGACGGAGCAACGCCGCGUGAGUGAUGAAGGUCUUCGGAUCGUAAAACUCUGUUAUUAGGGAAGAACAAAUGUGUAAGUAACUAUGCACGUCUUGACGGUACCUAAUCAGAAAGCCACGGCUAACUACGUG
rnacentral:rRNA from 1 species